rnacentral:rRNA from 1 species
GAUGGACGCUGGCGGCGUGCCUAAUACAUGCAAGUCGAGCGAACGGACGAGAAGCUUGCUUCUCUGAUGUUAGCGGCGGACGGGUGAGUAACACGUGGAUAACCUACCUAUAAGACUGGGAUAACUUCGGGAAACCGGAGCUAAUACCGGAUAAUAUUUUGAACCGCAUGGUUCAAAAGUGAAAGACGGUCUUGCUGUCACUUAUAGAUGGAUCCGCGCUGCAUUGGCUAGUUGGUAAGGUAACGGCUUACCAAGGCAACGAUGCAUAGCCGACCUGAGAGGGUGAUCGGCCACACUGGAACUGAGACACGGUCCAGACUCCUACGGGAGGCAGCAGUAGGGAAUCUUCCGCAAUGGGCGAAAGCCUGACGGAGCAACGCCGCGUGAGUGAUGAAGGUCUUCGGAUCGUAAAACUCUGUUAUUAGGGAAGAACAUAUGUGUAAGUAACUGUGCACAUCUUGACGGUACCUAAUCAGAAAGCCACGGCUAACUACGUGCCAGCAGCCGCGGUAAUACGUAGGUGGCAAGCGUUAUCCGGAAUUAUUGGGCGUAAAGCGCGCGUAGGCGGUUUUUUAAGUCUGAUGUGAAAGCCCACGGCUCAACCGUGGGGGGUCAUUGGAAACUGGAAAACUUGAGUGCAGAAGAGGAAAGUGGAAUUCCAUGUGUAGCGGUGAAAUGCGCAGAGAUAUGGAGGAACACCAGUGGCGAAGGCGACUUUCUGGUCUGUAACUGACGCUGAUGUGCGAAAGCGUGGGGAUCAAACAGGAUUAGAUACCCUGGUAGUCCACGCCGUAAACGAUGAGUGCUAAGUGUUAGGGGGUUUCCGCCCCUUAGUGCUGCAGCUAACGCAUUAAGCACUCCGCCUGGGGAGUACGACCGCAAGGUUGAAACUCAAAGGAAUUGACGGGGACCCGCACAAGCGGUGGAGCAUGUGGUUUAAUUCGAAGCAACGCGAAGAACCUUACCAAAUCUUGACAUCCUUUGACAACUCUAGAGAUAGAGCCUUCCCCUUCGGGGGACAAAGUGACAGGUGGUGCAUGGUUGUCGUCAGCUCGUGUCGUGAGAUGUUGGGUUAAGUCCCGCAACGAGCGCAACCCUUAAGCUUAGUUGCCAUCAUUAAGUUGGGCACUCUAAGUUGACUGCCGGUGACAAACCGGAGGAAGGUGGGGAUGACGUCAAAUCAUCAUGCCCCUUAUGAUUUGGGCUACACACGUGCUACAAUGGACAAUACAAAGGGCAGCGAAACCGCGAGGUCAAGCAAAUCCCAUAAAGUUGUUCUCAGUUCGGAUUGUAGUCUGCAACUCGACUACAUGAAGCUGGAAUCGCUAGUAAUCGUAGAUCAGCAUGCUACGGUGAAUACGUUCCCGGGUCU